ACAUAAGAAUGCCUGUAUCAGCUCAUAAUUUUGAGGUCACCUUGUGUUUACUCACGCAGCCAGCUGGCUUCCUUAGCCGGUCAACACCCACACCAUCCAGAGUUGCAUCUCAAAGAUUUCUGAGGGCUCUGAGCGGCUCUGCCGCUGCCUGGGUGCACUUUCGAGACUGUUCCUCUUGCAGCCAGGUUGUCCUUCUCACCUAAGUCUAAAUAUUUUUCUGUGUUUCGCACCCACUAUCUGUUUAAAUAGAAAAUCACCAGUAAAUUAUUUUCUUUUCCAUGUUCAUAACUGAAUUUUAGAAAUAAUCCGUGAAUUCUUUGGGCUCGCUCUUUACUUAUUCACAGUUUUUAAUAAUAGUUUAUACAGGGAAUAUUUUUAGAAUACUGGCAUUUAUUGCGACUUACCAGUUUUGCACUGGGGACCGAUGACGCAGUGAAUGCGACACAGCCUCUGACUUCAGCAGGUCCACUCUGUACCAGAGCAGCAGGCUCACUGAAGUCAGUCCCCAUACCUGACGGGGGGCAUGAUGGUCGCUCUGGCCCAGGAAAAUGCAGAAAAGCGAGGGCUGCCUCAAACCCUGCUUUCCACCAUUUGCUCUCUUGAGUGCAUUUCUCUUGGGAAAGUACCCUUUUAUGGGAGUCUUUUAAGUUUUAUUUUUAAGUGCCGUUUUCCAAAUAUCUAAUCAUCGACCUGGUUCUCCACUGGAUUCCGCAGAAAGUACACUGGGUUCAUUUAUACUUCAGUUCCUAUUUCUAGGGAUUAAAUAAUACCUGUCCAGAGCAUUAACAUGUACAUUGAUGGGCAUUGUUCAUUCCACGCUUGUCACCCUUCUGUAAACGUGACCAGUGGAAAUGUUAGAGCCUAGACCCAUGGGACUGCGAGUCAGCCGUCUAUGUGGACACGCUCCAGAGCACACCUGUAGAGCCAGGGGCUCCCCAGGGGUCGCGGGUUACAAUUUUGAGGGUAAACACAUCGCAUCAUCCCUUAGAACACCCGUGGUUGUAACAAUGGAAGGAGGUCCCUGAGGUAUUAACUAACGCAGGUUGGUUUGCAUAGGUGACUGGAGGGCUUUCUCAAGAGAUGGUAUUUCUCUGUGCAGUUACGCAUCACCGCUGGACCAGGACAUAGCCAGUCACAUGCUCAGAUUCUUUCACGUGGCCCCUUGAAUCGUGGAAACUGGGACUGAUUGAUGUUAUUUCAAACGAGUGUGUCUUCCCUCUCGCCCUGCCACCCUGCCAUGGUACUUAGUUGUUCAAAACAGUAUAAUUGAGAGGCUGCCCGUGGUCCCCAGUUCUGUCAGCACUUGGAUAGAAGGUGCACUGGGAGGGAGGGUCAGCAUUUAAACCACACUGUGGAAGAAACGUCCGCGUCUUUCUGUGUCACCUCUCAAAUUUCACGUUUCUUCCAUCAGCUUUUGCGUAUAAGCAAGGUAAUGAAUUUGAAAUUCCAUCAGGCCAGAGUGAAACACUUGAGUCAGGAACAGAGUGACUGCUGGCACUGGCGGCCCGGAGGCUGGGCGGCAGUGCUGUCCCCGGGGGACAUCGCGGGACGAGCCCUGUGAAAGACGGCGGUCCCCUCUUGGGCUGCCACCUCUCACAAGCUGUGCUGCUGUGGCCCUGGGGGACCCGGAAGCGCAGCCGCUGGGGGUUUCAUGCAGGAGGUGAGGGGUGGGCAGGGGUGGGCCCCCCGGUGUGGCUGGACACUCGCCUCUCCCUCCCCGCGAGGGGCCUGGGUGGGGGUUGGUUGGCUGCUGUCACCAGCUCCUCCCACCCACCCAGCUGGCCUUGCCGAGGCACCCGACACCCCUGAUAAAGAGCCGGGGUCGUCAUCACUUACAAACACGCAAGCGCUCGGGUUCGGGCCUCUCACCCGCCAGGCAGGCGUCUCAGGCCGGGUCUCUCUCUCUCCUUCUGCCCCGGUGCCGCCGGAUGCCGAGGCUCGAAACCCGUGUGCCCGUCUCCAGAGACACCGUGGCGCUGCGCUCAGAGCCGUUGCCCCAGAUUCCCUUCUCCCCAAAGCGGGGCGGCCAUGCCCCCGGCCCGAGUGACAGCCGCCUGAAGGGCAAGUGCUGGGAGGAGGUGCAAGUGCACGACGCCGGUGGCACGUGCGCUCGCCCGGCAUCCCUGGGGCUCACCGCGAGACCCUCCUCGUCCCCAUAGCACCCCCUUGCCCUCCCGACAGCCUGGAAGGGGGGUUCUCACUGUCACGUUGCCUCUAUAAAGUACAGGGACAGAGCGGGAAGGGCCGCUCGUCGGACGUCCCCGGGCUGCCCCUGGCUGUCUGAGUUUUCUGUCUUUCCUCGUCUGUGGAAUAACUCGCCCAGACCCAGAAAAGUGUGGGGUUCCAGCAGUUCCCAGAGCCCGGGUCUGCGGCACCAGCACCGAGAUGCUGACGCAGCCCAGCCCUCGCUGAAGACACGUAAACAGCUGGGGAGGGGAGGCCACGGAGGCCAGUGUAACAGAAUCGGCCGCCAGCUUCUCGGCUGCCAUAUGUGCUGUGUAAUGCUUGUCAUCUCCAGUGAGUCAUUAAAAGGUUCCCCUUAAUGGGGCUUUGAAGUGCCGGGCCGCUUGAGCGCUUCCAUAAAUUCCACAAACAGCCCUCUGACUGCGCUGGCUAAUUGCUUGCUCUUUGACAUAUUAGGAUCAACUGAGCUAAAUAAUUUGUCACAUGUGUGGCUCGUAAUAAAUAAUGUGACCAGCCGGUUUGUGAGCUGUUUGGGUGAUAUAUUGUACCCCUUUUGGAUGUUGUCACACGUAGCUAGCAAAUGGGGGCUGUUUCAUCCAAAGGGCUAUCUUUUCCCUGCAAAGAGAGUAAGUUCUGACAGAGCAGCUGGGGAAAAGAAUUUAGAAGAGUCUAGUUACAAACAAAUGUGUUCAUUUCUACUUCAGCCUUUCCGUGAAGCAUUAAUCAUCAUUUUUCUUGCUUAUUAGGCAUAUAUAUCACACAUCAUGCAAGUCAUAGGCAAGAGAAUAGAAAUAAGGUUAACUAUAGCUUCCGGAAUCCCUGCUUUGAAAGAUUAAUCGAGGUGCCAUUCCUAUGCAGUAAAAGACCAACGAAUAAGAAACGUUGUAUAAGUAACGCAAAUCUACAUGUUUCAUCUUCUUCCGAUUGUUUUUGAACUGAUAAUAAACUAGGGAACAUAUUCCUUAUUUUUGUAAAAAGUGACUUAAAAUUUUUUUCAUAAAUAAAAUGUUAUGACCUGCCUCUCAUAGAUGAUUUAAUCUUA